CUGACAUCUCUUCCUCUUCAAGACAUGAACAACCAAUUCCACUUUUGACUCAUCGACACCAAAUUUCUAGGGAGACUGCUACACCUGAUACGUAAUCAGGUCGAACUACAUCAGGCCCUUUAGGUCCAUCUGACAAGGUUCACUCACUUCCAUAUGUUGAUCAAAUGCAACCAGCUCCAGUAAGAAUUGUAGAUCCAUCAAAGGACUUAAAUUCUUAUGGUCUUGGAAAUGUUGACUGGAAAGAAAGGGUUGAAAGUUGGAAACUCAAGCAGGAGAAGAAUGUGGUGCAUGUGAAUGGUAGUAGAUACAAUGAGGGGAAAGGUGAUAUUGAAGGAACUGGUUCCAAUGGA